UAAGUGUUCCCUGAGAACACAAUGCACAUCAUUAAAAAGACAGGAUGUUCUCCAACAGUAAGGCAUGUGGUUUUCUUCAAUGUACUACCAGCGGAAGGAAGCUGCAUCAGAUGGCAUGUGAAAAAUCCGGAGGCUGGGUGUGGCUAUUUUUGAUUUAAUGUACUUCACAAUGGGAUUUUUUUCUUUUGUCUGCAAUUGCCAACAUGCAUUUGUGUCUGGUUGGGGAAAGUGACAAAAGUUACUGCAGCUGUUUUAUAUAAUUCAUAUCCACAGGACAUGGUAGAACUCAAAAGUGAAAAUACAUUGUCAAUCGGCACUCAGCUCUCUCCAUACAAACAACAUCCAUUUAUCAGAUCUAUCCACACAUACAACUUUGGAGAAGGUAAACAAGUUUAAGCAGCUGAACUCUACAUAAUAUCUGGUACUGAUAGCUCAGGGUAGAACUCGUGGAGUGUGAGAGUUACUUAAAGUCCUCUAUACACCCCUAUUAUCCUGAAACUCAGCUCUCUACACACAUGCAACAACAUUUAUUCAUCAAUAUAUCAUUAUUUCACUUCAUGGCCAACAGGUUGUCACAGGAUUUUCAUUCACAUCCCUUACUUUUUUUCACACAUGACACUCCUUUCCCCAAAAGCUACCUGACAUUUGACCACCCAAAAAGGAGGGCAAAAUCGUCUGGGUAAAGCUCAGGUGGGAGUCAGUGUCACACCAACAUGACAUCCUCAUAUCAAGGUUGAGUUGAAGUGAACCAGGAACAUCUGUAGUUCAUGUUAUCAGCAAAGUUUUUUUUUUCCAUCAUGAUAGCAACACACUGUUCUCUCUUUGUGCUAUGCUUAAUCCUUUCUCAUUUUCUUUACUGUAACUUCCACAACAAAAUCAAUGUUCAAAGCUAUAAGGCAGCCUAAGAUUUAGAGAAGAAAGAUUCAGGGAUGCUCUCUAGAAAGAGAACCUUUACAGCUAGGUGCAGAUAAUUUUUGGGGGGAUGGGUGGGUGGUUUGACAGCCAAACCCUCCCCACAGGUUAGAAGAUUUUCUUUUUGAAUUGUACUAAUCUCAAAGGCCUUGACAAGAAAUUAAUGUGAGAGGGUUGGUGCAGGGAGGGUGCAUGGGCCUUUUUGUAACCAAGCCUUUUGGCAACUAAACCAAUUCAUCUUUCAAUGAAUUGCCAUGUCCGGUGGCUUCUGUCUUUCAUGGUUCAGUUGCAAAACAGCAUAAGAAAUUUUUACCCCAAAAGGAUUGCACUAACAAAUAAAGGAAAAGAGGGACACAAAUCAUUACUGACUCAUCUGCCAAUUUCUCUUCUGCAAAAAAGUUCCUUCAUUUUAUAUACUUUUAAUUGUGAUUAUGGGAUAAGGGGUUUAGCCCAAUACUGUGCUAUUAUCAGCUAAUAUCUUUUUUCAGUGAAAUAUGUCCGCCAUACCCAGGUAACCAGGUUAGUCUGUAGUCCUGUCACUUCCUUGUCUCCACUGCCCUGUUUAAGUGCAGCACUUUUGAUACAGAUUUAGAAAAGAUCCUUAAAAAUAUACUGUAACAGAAUGGGAAAAAACUUCACAGAAAGUGAAACAUGAAUAUGCACAAACAUGUGCACAUGCAAUGUGCAUGCAGAUGUUUCUACACAAAUAUGCCUAUACACAUGACCUGCAGAACAAACUGCAUGUGCCCUUGGGUGCAAGCAUGCACUCUCAUACACAGUUCCUCCCACUCUCCAGUGCUCUCCUACAUGUUCUCACUUCUGAAAAUACUAACAAUAUUGUGAAAAUACUAAUAUAAAUGAUGUCUGUUCAUUACACAGCUAAAUGAAAGCUGAGUACUCAGUAGUACUAAGUGGUAGUGAGUAGCCCUCUAAACAAGAGUUCAAACAUGUUUUGUUGCUAACCCCAUUACUGGGUAAGGCCCUAAAUAUCUGGGUUAACACUGUGUACACUUAAGUUUCGCAGAAUGGAUCCUUUACUUCCUAGUCCUAGUAGCUGGCAAGCAGUGAAAUCUUGACGAACUUGACUCAAGCUGUGAAUAUUUUUUUCCCUCUUGUUUUGAAAUGAUUUAAGCAGCUUACUCGUUUCAAAACAAGAGUGAAAAAAUGCAUGGACAUCCUUUUUCUUCUCCACUUAUUCUAAAAUGGAAGAUAUCAUGAACAACAUGACAACUAAGCACACAACUAGAGUACCACUAUUACCAAGUAAAUUAAAAUUAUCAAAUCUUUCAAACAAAGCAAAAAAGAAAAAAAAAUUAAGGAAAAUAAUUUAUCUUUAAAGAUUGCUUAUCCUAUUUAUAUGAUAUGAGAUUCCCUUUUCCCAUAUGUUUGUUACUUGUUCAUUCCAAUUUUUGCACUUUGGCAAAGCACAUUUCACAUUCACUGACACACGUUAUCUGACGCAUACAGGAAAACUGUAGCAGCUCUAUUUGUCUCAGUCUAGCUAUGACAUCUUUGUUUCUUCCCUAUUGGUUGAUUGUUAUCAUCCUUGAGGGCCUGAUUGUUCAACAUCGUAAAGGGGUAUGUGAAGUGGAUACUGCCAAACAGAAGGAAGUAAAAAGACUGAAAGAGACAAAGAGAUUAUGCAUCUAAUGAGGACGAGGGUGAGCAGACCUGUUGUUCUCCUGGUUAGUCAGCAUCCAAUGAUCCAGAUUUUCACUGUGGUCAUCAAUAUAACACAGGAAGAACUAUAUGACCUGGUUUGUGAUUUGGACUUAACCAAGAACAAGGCAGAAUUGCUAGGUUCAAGAC